GGCCGUGUAGCUCAAUGGCAGAGCGUCUGACUACGACGUGAUCAUCAGGUCAUAUUCAGUAAUCAGAAGGUCGCAGGUUCGACCCCUGUCUCGGUCA
rfam:Pochonia chlamydosporia 170 chromosome 1, whole genome shotgun sequence.